GACUAUGUAGCUCAGUUGGUUAGAGCGCUGCACUGGAAUUGCAUGCAGGGCUACAGGUUCGAUUCAUGCUGAAGGGCC